ACUAGGUAAGCUGUGGAGAGAAAAGGAUGCUGGUUUCAUGAAGUUCUGACUGUCCUCAAAAGCAGAAGAACUGCUCAAAACGUGGAGGGACUGCAGGGACUGCAAGCAGCUACCUGCAUAGUUCAGCACCCACUGCUGGCCCAUGUCCCCUUUGGAGUACCCAUUCUUCAGCUAAGGCCAGGCAUGAAUCCAAUUCUAGGACAAUGUUUAAUCCUUCCCAACAGAAUGGACUGAAGAAAAACAACAGAUUAAAGAGACGACAAAUUGAAAAAAGUAAAUCUCUGGAAGGGCACACCAGAUAUGGCUUAAAAUUGGACAAAGGUAUCAAACAGAUGGGAAGAUUUAUGAGGUUUGUGUACAUAUGAUCAUUUACUAAGCACAUUAAAUGAAAUCCAACAGUGCAACCAAUACACUGAAAUAUCUGAGGUUGUAUCACU